rnacentral:rRNA from 1 species
CAGCAGCCGCGGUAAUACCGGCGGCCCGAGUGGCGGUCACUAUUAUUGGGCUUAAAACGUCCGUAGCCGGGUUGGGAAGUCCUCCGGGAAAUCUGGCCGCUUAACGGUCAGAAUGCCGGAGGAUACUCCCAGCCUAGGGAGCGGGAGAGGCCGAGGGUAUUCCCGGAGUAGGGGGGAAAUCCUAUAAUCCCGGGAGGACCACCUGUGGCGAAGGCGCUCGGCUGGAACGCGUCCGACGGUGAGGGACGAAGGCCAGGGGAGCAAACCGGAUUAGAUACCCGGGUAGUCCUGGCUGUAAACGAUGCGGACUUUGUGUCGGACAAGCUAUGAGCUUGUCCGGUGCCGGAGGGAAACCGUUAAGUCCGCCGCCUGGGGAGUACGGCCGCAAGGUUGAAACUUAAAGGAAUUGGCGGG